rnacentral:rRNA from 1 species
CCUACGGGUGGCUGCAGUGGGGAAUAUUGGACAAUGGGCGAAAGCCUGAUCCAGCCAUGCCGCGUGUGUGAAGAAGGCCUUCGGGUUGUAAAGCACUUUCAGUGGGGAAGAAAGCCUUGGGGCUAAUACCCUCGAGGAAGGACAUCACCCACAGAAGAAGCACCGGCUAACUCCGUGCCAGCAGCCGCGGUAAUACGGAGGGUGCGAGCGUUAAUCGGAAUUACUGGGCGUAAAGCGCGCGUAGGCGGUCUGAUAAGCCGGUUGUGAAAGCCCCGGGCUCAACCUGGGAACGGCAUCCGGAACUGUCAGGCUAGAGUGCAGAAGAGGAAGGUAGAAUUCCCGGUGUAGCGGUGAAAUGCGUAGAGAUCGGGAGGAAUACCAGUGGCGAAGGCGGCCUUCUGGACUGACACUGACGCUGAGGUGCGAAAGCGUGGGUAGCAAACAGGAUUAGAUACCCGAGUAGUC